ACCAGACUCCUACGGGAGGCAGCAGUGGGGGAUAUUGCACAAUGGGGGAAACCCUGAUGCAGCGACGCCGCGUGGGUGAAGAAGCGCCUCGGCGCGUAAAGCCCUGUCAGCAGGGAAGAAAAUGACGGUACCUGAAGAAGAAGCCCCAGCUAACUACGUGCCAGCAGCCGCGGUAAUACGUAGGGGGCGAGCGUUAUCCGGAUUCACUGGGUGUAAAGGGAGCGUAGACGGCCAUGCAAGCCAGGGGUGAAAGCCCGGGGCCCAACCCCGGGACUGCCCUUGGAACUGCAUGGCUGGAGUGCGGGAGGGGCAGGCGGAAUUCCUGGUGUAGCGGUGAAAUGCGUAGAUAUCAGGAGGAACACCGGUGGCGAAGGCGGCCUGCUGGACUGCAACUGACGUUGAGGCUCGAAAGCGUGGGGAGCAAACAGGAUUAGAUACCCCUGUAAGG
rnacentral:rRNA from 1 species